rnacentral:rRNA from 1 species
GUGCCAGCAGCCGCGGUAAUACCGGCAGCCCGAGUGAUGACCGCUAUUAUUGGGCCUAAAGCGUCCGUAGCUGGCCGAUCAAGUCCGUCGGGAAAUCCGCACGCUUAACGUGCGGGCGUCCGGCGGAAACUGUUCGGCUUGGGACCGGAAGGCUCGAAGGGUACGUUCGGGGUAGGAGUGAAAUCCCAUAAUCCCGCACGGACCACCGAUGGCGAAAGCACUUCGAGAAAACGGAUCCGACAGUGAGGGACGAAAGCCAGGGUCUCCAACCGGAUUAGAAACCCCAGUAGUCC